rnacentral:rRNA from 1 species
AAUGAACGCUGGCGGCGUGGUUAAGACAUGCAAGUCGAACGGUGUUUCAGAUGUAGCAAUACAUUUGAAACGCAGUGGCGAACGGGUGCGUAACACGUGAACAAUUUACCUUUUAGUGUGGAAUAGCUCGGCGAAAGCCGGAUUAAUACCGCAUGUGGUUGUCUCUCUCCUGAGAGGCAUACUAAAGCCGGGGACCGCAAGGCCUGGCGCUAAUAGAGGAGUUCGCGGCCUACAGCUAGUUGGCGAGGUAACGGCUCACCAAGGCUAAGGACGGGUAGCUGAUCUGAGAGGAUGAUCA